CGGAGACUGUGGUUUUCCAUUUACCUCUGGAGCUCCGCCACGGCGUCUGCGCUGCUGUAACCCUGCACGCUUUCAAAAGCAGACAGCUACAGAAAGCCCUCCCUCUCCCCCGGCUCUUAACAAUGGAGCCAGAGCCACAUCUGCCCCAGUGCAUUAUGGUACUGUUGGUCUGGAAGUCUUGUUGAGUGUCGGAGAAAGCAGGAAAGAGGGAAAAGGAAUGCUAAUGUCACACUUUCACUCCGAACUCUAUGCUAAUAAUCCCUGAAUGCUUUUAAACAUCAAGACAGCAGGAAGUAGUGGAGCAGAGAAACUCUUUAAGUGAAAUUGGCCUUCAGAAGCAAAUACGCUGAGAUAUAUUCACUGGAGUAAACAAGUGACAACUAUCCCAAAUGUGUUAACAUUAGAGGCUGGGGAAGCAUAAACCAGGACAAACCCAAUGUCAGUGAUGUCAAGGAGCUGCAGCAGAAUAAUAGCUUUGUGAAAACCAGCCCAUCUAUAUGCCUCCAGGGCUCUUAUCGACUUCUCUGAUAUAUGUGCUGGUAAUGUGUAAAGAAAUGACAGCUACUACUGCAGAUGUGGCAAGGAUGCGGUAUG